CAGUCGCCGCGGUAAUACAGAGGGUGCGAGCGUUAAUCGGAUUUACUGGGCGUAAAGCGUGCGUAGGCGGCUUCUUAAGUCGGAUGUGAAAUCCCUGAGCUUAACUUAGGAAUUGCAUUCGAUACUGGGAAGCUAGAGUAUGGGAGAGGAUGGUAGAAUUCCAGGUGUAGCGGUGAAAUGCGUAGAGAUCUGGAGGAAUACUGAUGGCGAAGGCAGCCAUCUGGCCUAAUACUGACGCUGAGGUACGAAAGCAUGGGGAGCAAACAGGAUUAGAUACCCGUGUAGUCCCUGUCUCUUAUAC
rnacentral:rRNA from 1 species